rnacentral:lncRNA from 1 species
GCCUAUCAAACAGUGCCUCAUGUGUAGAGUCUGAUGAGACUUUGUCAUUGCUGAAAACUAGAACCUAAGUCCUGUGACAUGACUAGAUUCAGUUGUUCUCGACUCAUUAUAUUUUUGAAAAGUAUUUCAAAAGAUAUAAAUCAAAUUCUGUUCUAUUGUUUUAAUUCAUUUUGUUCCUUGAAUCAACUUAAAAUGCAAAAAAAAGGUAAU